rnacentral:lncRNA from 1 species
GGAAGGUCUGAGAAGGCAGAACAGGAGCUCAAUACAGGCUGGGGGGGCUUCUGGCAAUUCUCUCAGGUUUAGAAAAAUAGUUACAACAUUUCUUGCCACUCUUUUGUGAGCGCAAUUGAACUGUCAUGACUCAAGACACUAAAGAAUAGAAAGAAUGGGGUAGGAGAGGAACACUGUCCUGGCUCCGGAGGGGUGAGAUUCUCCUCUGGUGCCUGAUCAGAGCCCUCUGGGGAGCCCAGGAGGACAUGAGGGGGACCCCUUUUCUAGUAGAUCUUUGACUCCAGAAUCUAGGAGCCCUGUUGCAGAGGGAGGCCCUGACAUCUGGAUUUUGACACAGACCUGAGCCUGGAGCUGUUGGAAACUCAUUUCCGGGACAGAUGUGGAAUGCUGGACAAUCAAACGUCGCCGGGGCCUUUGGAGCGCUCCCUGUGUCCUGUUGCAGUGGCUGCAGUGACUUUGGUCUCCCCUAAUGACAGAAGCACAGGAGAAAGCCCAGCUCUUAGUUCCCGCUUUCCUCCAAGUUGUCCUCAUGAGGGGGCUGGACCAAAUUUCAAGAACUGAAACUUUAACCUGCUGAGUCUCAAUAUUCUCUAGGUGAAGACCUAGGUAAGCCUGUUGGAUUUGGCAACAGAAAAAUCAUCAGUGACUUUGACAUGAGAAGACUUCGUGGAAUAGUAGAGAUGAAAGUCAUAUUGGAAUAGGGUGGGUGUGAACAGGUUAAGGGAAUAGAAAUAGCAUUUUGGGGGCAACUCUUUCUAGAAGUUUGGCUAUGAAGGAAAGCAAAGAAAUGAGGUAGAAUAUGAAGAGAUAUGAUAUAGGUCAAGGAAGAAUUGUAAGAGUGAGAUACCAGAGCAUGUUUGUAUGCUGGUGGGAACGCCUAUGCUGAUACAUAUAUUUCCCAUCCUUAAGACAGGUAUAUUUUUCACAGUAAAUUAACAAGCUGGCUUUCUAUGUCUGCCUGAGUACUGUUUUAAUUAGCAUGAGUCAGAGCCCAGUGUCUCAGCUCUAACCAGCCUUUUUUUUUCACUGUCGCCCAGGCUGGAGUGCAGUGGCACGAUCUUGGCUUGCUGCAACCUCUGCCUCCCAGGUUCAAGAGAUUCUUCUGCCUCAGCCUCCCGAGUAGCUGGGAUUACAAGCGCCUGCCACCACACCCGGCUGA